rnacentral:tRNA from 1 species
GCGGGCGUGGCGGAACUGGCAGACGCGUAUGGCUUAGGACCAUAUAUCGUAAGAUAUGGGGGUUCAAUUCCCUCCGUCCGCA